rnacentral:lncRNA from 1 species
CUUUAUAUUAUAUCAUUCUACGGAUGCCAAAUACGUUUUAUUUGACCAAAAAUCGAUAACUAAUUUAGUUUGGCUGAACAAAUUGCUAUUUUGAAAAUAAUUAUGAAAAUCAACGACAAUGUCGCUUGAAUGAGCGAAACCGCUAAACAAACAUAAUUACGAAAAUCUUGAGUUUCUUUAAUUUUCCAUAACUGUCUAUCUAUAUCUAGAGAUUUAAAAAUUUCAUUCUUUUCUCCUCUUCCAUGUCCACACCAUUCAUUUAAUUUUUGACUUCUUUUUCUCCACUUCACGUGAGUUCGUGACUAUAGCUACAUACAAAGAAAAAGAAAAAAGUAUUUUUUAUCCACAUUUUUUAUUGUUAAAUUUGUUAUUAAUUUAGAUUUUUUUAUAUAUAUAGAUAAUCAAUGGAUAAAUUUAUGAUCAAAAGACCUAAAAUAAAUAAAUCAAUCAAUUUCAACUUCAUCAUCCAAUCCACAACCAUCUAGAGAGACACUCGAUGUAAGUAAAUUGUUUUCCGAUCCGGGAUUGCGAAAGAAGAUAAAUGACUACAAUCUAAAUGACCGAGAUCAAAUAAGAAGAUAUUAUUUGCAAAAGAAACCUUGCCAACUACAUCAACAUGAAUUUCCAUUAAAGAUGAUUAAAAAAAUCAAUCUAGACGAUUUUGUUUAUUGUGGUUUGGCUAAUAUGAAUCAUGGAUUGAAUAUAACAUUUCAAAAGACGCUGUUUUCUAUUUAUAUUGUUAUUUAUUCUCGGAAAUAAAUGAAAGUGCUUUUACUUGUACGUAAAAUUUGUUUAUUAAUUUCCUUAUAACUUAAUUGAUUUUUUUUAAUCAAUGAUGUUGUUUUUCCUUUUGGAUUAAUCAUGUUUUGCAGCUAGAGGUUUUUAUAAAUGGAAUAAACCAAAAUAUUUGAAACAACAUGUUGGGAGAGAUAAUAGUUAUCACAAUGUUGCAAAAAGUAAAUGUAAAUUUUUGAAUCAAGUUGUCGCAAUCGUAUGGAUGAUGAUUGGUUGAAUGAUAUUUUAGUAACAUAUAUUGAAAAAGAUUUAUUUUCUAAUAUAAUAAUGAUGAUAUUAUGUAUCGGUACCAAAAUAUGACACCUCGUCGAGAAUAAUUGGAUUGAAAAAAAAAAUUAGAUAAAUAAUUUAAAAUUAACCCCUCGGAGAAAAAAUUCCUAGAUUCUCCGCUGUUUGGUUACUAGUCAUCCAAUUUGCCACGUGAUGUAUAUUGGUAAAUGCCAAUUGCUUACAUGAUGAUUUUUAUUUAUUUUUUAUUUAAUUCAAUUUUUAGUCCCACAUCGUUGUGACAUCAGAAUAAAAUGGAAAAAGCUGAUUAUAAAUAUAGACGUAUCAACAACAUUGUUCAAUACUUACCUGAACGGGGUCUAUGGUUGAUCAAGAAGGAUCAUGACCUAGGUUGGUGAUCUUCAUUGCACUUUGGAGAAGCAUCAAGCUAACGUCUCCCCAAGUGGGAGAGUGUACGUUAUAAUUUAUUACUUUGGGGGUACGCGUUCGCGCGACUCCUGUCAAUAUUUAAUUCAAUAAUUUAAAAAGAAGGGAAAAAUUCAUGAGCAAUAAACCAUGUGAUGUCUGAUUUUCAGAAUCUGCUGCUUAUUUGUGAGCACUCGUCCAUUCAGGUAUCAUUGUUGCUAAUUGGUAUUCUUUAUUGGUUUGUAGGGAUUGGGAAUUCUAUGAUUUCUAUAUAUACUUCUGGUUCUCAUAGUAUAUAUCAACCUCAACAAUGAUUUUAUAUAUUGAAUUACCAUCAAUUUUUUACAAAUAAAGAUUUUCAAAUAUUGUUGUUUCAUAACUUAAUAAAUCAUUGUACCGUAACAGUUGUUGUUGUUCAUCAGAAUUUGAUUUCAAUUUCGGACUGGAGUUUUGAUAGACCGAAUACUUCAGUUUGGAAAUUAAGAAUCAAGCAAGAAAAAAAAUUAAAUAUUGGACAAGAAGCAAGUAGAAAAGAAAAUGAAGAAAAAAAAUUAGCUUGUUAUGCUUCGUCCGUAUUUGCUGGUAAUCGAAUUAAUGAUCUGGUCAAGAUAAUGAUGAUGAGCAAUAGGUGUAGUUGGAAACAGAGCAUCAAAUUCAAUUGACCAUUCACCAAAACAAAUGAAAUAGAAAAUUAAACAUUUAAAUAUGUAACAACGAAGCAGGCCAUCAACGGUAGAGGAAAACAAGCCAUCCAACUUUUGUAAAAAAAUCUAUAAAAUAAACGCUUGAGAAAAAUUUACAAUAAAAUGAUCGGAUUGUAUCCUUUGCCUCAUUUAACCUCACAAUUGUAACAACUUUUCCCCAGAUAAAUUUUUGGUUAUUUCUAUUUUGCAAAAUAAAAAUAUCUUAC